GUGCUCCCCUUCAGCAGCACAUAUACUAAAAAUUGGGGGGAUACAGAGAAGAUUAGCAUGGCCUCUAUGCAAGGAUGACACUCAAAUGCCCCCUCUCUGU
ensembl:snRNA U6 U6 spliceosomal RNA